UACGUAGGGACCAAGCGUUGUUCGGAUUUACUGGGCGUAAAGGGCGCGUAGGCGGCCACCGCAAGUCGGUUGUGAAAUCUCCGGGCUUAACCCGGAAAGGUCAACCGAUACUGCGGGGCUAGAGUGCAGAAGGGGCAACUGGAAUUCUCGGUGUAGCGGUGAAAUGCGUAGAUAUCGAGAGGAACACCUGCGGCGAAGGCGGGUUGCUGGGCUGACACUGACGCUGAUGCGCGAAAGCUAGGGGAGCGAACGGG
rnacentral:rRNA from 1 species